GCACCCUUAACUUAACAGGCAAAGACUGGUCUUUUAAACCAUGGGUCGGGGGUUCGAGUCCUCCAGGGUGUACCA
rnacentral:tRNA from 1 species